rnacentral:rRNA from 1 species
AACGAACGCUGGCGGCGUGCUUAACACAUGCAAGUCGAACGCGAACGUUUUCUUCGGAAAACUAGUAGAGUGGCGCACGGGUGAGUAACGCGUAAGUAACCUACCCUCGCAUCUGGGAUAACCCACCGAAAGGUGUGCUAAUACCUGAUACGUCUGGAAUUAUACUUUGAAUUCAGAGAAAGGUGGCCUCUGAUUUAAGCUACUGUGCGGGGAGGGGCUUGCGUACCAUUAGCUAGUUGGUAGGGUAACUGCCUACCAAGGCGAUGAUGGUUAGCGGGUCUGAGAGGAUGAUCCGCCACACUGGAACUGGAACACGGACCAGACUCCUACGGGAGGCAGCAGUGAGGAAUAUUGCGCAAUGGGGGCAACCCUGACGCAGCGACGCCGCGUGGAUGAUGAAGGCCUUCGGGUUGUAAAUCCUGUCAGAUGGGAAGAAGUGGUAAAUGUCCAAUACACAUUUAC